GUAUUUUAUUGACCUCUAUUGGUUCUAUUUGUUGAAAAAGUAAGUCUGGUGGGAUAAAGAGGGUAAUAAAAAUGUUGGAGAUCUCUCUUGCAUUCAAGAAAAUAUUAUUCAAAAUUUAGAUCUCUGAAAAGAAAAUGUAGUUGAAUUAAAACACCAUUUGAAGGAAGACAUUAAUUUUGAGUUGGUUUCUGAACCAGAAUGGAGUACUUGUUCAGCGGUACCAGCUUGCUCCUGGAAAGGACCUGUAGCCUGAAUGGUAUUUGUUUAAUACAAAAACAGAAUGAAUUGAUGUCUACUUCUUGAAGGAUUUAGAGGUUGUAGACUAUGGAAUGCUGACCAGUUAUCUGUGAGAAGAAAUUCACCUGACCAACCUUUAAAUAGCCUAAGAUCCUGAGAAUAAGAAAACACAGGUGAAGAUAUUAAGGAACGACGAUAUGCUAGGUAAAAUGAUAGAAGAUAUUCCAAAAUCAGUUAAUUAAGUAGUUGCAUAUAUUUUAUGGGAGGAACUGUUGAAAAAUCCUUCAUGAAAUAUUUAAAAUAUCAGGAAAUAGCCAUAGUGAGCUAUGAAUGACAUCAUGCAAUCAAGCUAAGAAAAAAUUAUCUAUGAAAAAGCAGUCAAUCCAGGAAGUAAGUUGAAUAACAAACCAAACUUGGGUGGCCAAAGUACAGAACAAGAAUGGAACAUGACCAAGAAAGUCAUAUUCAUGAAUCCCAAAGGCAUCUUAUUCAUCAAUGUAGAUGCUGAUAUUUCUUCCAAAACAACAAUGAACUAUCUUGUAUGGAGAUCAAUGGCAUAUGUUCUGGUACUAAGGUGUUAUAGUCACACCUUGUUGGAUCCCCCUCGAAGCUGAAUUUAAGCUAGAAGCUUUCACUCAAACAAAGUAACUCGAUAAAUCAUUUACUCAAACUCAUCUUAACAGUCUGUUUCUCUGCCUUUCGUCAACCUGCGAGUAAAUCCCGAGUUGCGGCAAAGUAUAAGUUAAUGGAAAGCUCAAUUGUCUUUUUGGUUACCUUGAUAUACUUAGUUAAUAAUAUUGCUUUUAUGAAAACGGUCAAAUUUACAGCAAAAAGUUUCCUAUCUUGGGAAUCAAGCAGUUAAACAUCCUUCAUCCGCUUCACAAAUGCGAAAAUCUCAUUUGUGUCCAAGUUGGUCUGCUGUGGCUGAAGCGUUUGCAGUAUCCUAAUAUGACAUGCGGUAUUUCCCCGCCAGACGCGUGGGGGAGCUACGGUAUAUGACCUAGUAUGUAUAAAGACAUCGUUUGCACACCCAUAAACUAGGUAUGGUUAAAUUCAUCUAAUUAAGACUAAUCUUUCUAUGCUAAUUAUAAGUUUCUAUCUAAAAGUUAGGGAUAUAAGGAUACUGCCAGGAAAUUUACAGAACAAAAGUGCAAU